CCUACGGGAGGCAGCAGUGGGGAAUCUUCGGCAAUGGGCGCAAGCCUGACCCAGCAACGCCGCGUGAGGGAAGAAGGCUUUCGGGUUGUAAACUUCUUUUGUCAGGGAAGAGUAGAAGACGGUACCUGACGAAUAAGCUACGGCUAACUACGUGCCAGCAGCCGCGGUAAUACGUAGGUGGCAAGCGUUGUCCGGAGUUACUGGGGGUAAAGGGCGUGUAGCCGGGUUGAUAAGUCAGAUGUGAAAUCCUGCGGCUGAACCGGAGAACGGCAUUUGAAACGGGUGAUCUUGAGUACUGGAGAGGAAGACGGAAUUGCGGGUGUAGCGGUGAAAUGCGUAGAUAUUAGGAGGAACACCAGUGGCGAAGGCGGUCUGCUGGACAGUAACUGACGGUGAGGCGCGAAAGCGUGGGGAGCAAACAGGAUUAGAUACCCGAGUAGUC
rnacentral:rRNA from 1 species